rnacentral:lncRNA from 1 species
CGACAGUGCAGGAGGGUGAGGCCAGGUGCAGACCAGGAGGUGAGCGGGGUGGGGAACGGGAGGCCACGCCCUAGCAAAGAAAAUGAAAUUUAAAAACAUAAUCAUCGUGCUGGCCAAAUAAACUCCUCCACAGCCGGGUUUGACCACUCUGCCGCUCAGGCCUGACUCUGGGGCCUUUGGAGACCCUCCUUCCACUGCACAGGGGCCUGGGCACACCCCACUCACCUUAUCGCCGCCGUCAGCAAACAUUUGCAGGGCAGCAACAGUAGGCGCCUGCCCCAUGUUCCAGAUAGACACACCAGGAGCUGAGGCAAGACCUGCCUGGGGGGCCUGAGCUUGAAUCCUACUCUGCUGUGGGCUUGCUGUGUGGCCCUGAGCAAGCUGCUGGACCUCUCUGAGCCUCAGUGACUCCAGCUGUAAAUGGGGCAGCAUGCUGGGCAAGGAUAAAUGGAUCGUACAGGGCCAGAUCUGCCCUCCUGGAGUGACCAGCACCAGCUCAGGAGGCAGUGCGUCCACCUGUCCACCUCUCCCCUGAAGGACUGGGUCGGUGCCUUGCUGACCCAUUUUGCAGAUGAGUAGACUGAGGCUCAGCGAGGCGUGGAUGGCCUUAUUUUCUUCAAUGCAAUGGUACCCGUGUGUCUCCCUUACAAGGAGCGUCUCCCAGGCACUGGGCCCUGCCUCCUGUUCACCACGUGUGGCCACCCCCUCCACCAUCCUUGACUGUAAAAGGAGAGAGAUCAUGGCCUCUGUGGGCUAAGAAGUUUGCCGGGGGCGAUUCUGUAGGAUCGGUUGGCCCGUGCCAACCCAGAGCUACAGCCUGACACACCCUCACAGACACACCCGGGAAUGAUGUUUUACCGCCGUGUAUCCGGGCUCCCCCAAUCAGCCAAGUGGACACGUGGAAUCCGCCACCAGAGCAGGGGGCGCGGUCUGUGCUUACGUCCCUGUUGUCACAGAAGAUGUUAAAAGACCACCCCUCGGGGUGGAGAUUUAAUAUAAACAGUCAUUUUGCGGUCUCAUCGAGGACAGUCUCAGGGAAGCCAUGCUUCUUUGUGUGUGGAGCCGUGAAGGGCACGGCAACCAUGAAGACAGCUUGGGGCCGCGGCCUCGAUCCUGCUCCCGCAGCAGCAAUGUCACCGCCACCCCUGCAUCAACACCAUUAUCGCAAAGGUCAACCUGUGAAGAAGGCAAUGACCUCUGAGUGUACUACGCAGCUGGUUUUGACCUCACAGACCCUGAAAGGGCCUUGGGGCUGCCAGGGGGACGGACUAUGAGGAGUGCCGGUCCCGAGGACCGAGUUCACGCUCUGCCCGCCUCCACUGCCCCGAGAGGGAACACGCAGGGGAUUCGUCUCCCCAGCACCGAGCACUUGCCCGUCCCUGACCGCUGGCCUUUGUCCUGGUGCUGCCCCAGCUGUAACGUAAUGUCCACCUGCCUUGCCCAGAGCCUCCCAGCCCUCCAACGCGUCUCUGUGGGACUUCUUUCGCCCCGAGGUCAGCCUCACGGUUCCCUGCUUCCUUGCUCUUAGCUGUGUUGUAGAACCUCAGUUUUGAAGCCCAGCUGCGUGGCCAGGCUCCUUGAGUGUGGUGACCGGGUUCUCCUCCUCCCUAAUCAGUGCUCAGCGAGGAAGGCUGAUGAGUUGACUGGCUGCCUUAUCCCUCCUCCUACUGCCACCUUCUGCUACCUUCAGCCGUAAAUAACGGAAGAUCCAGACUCAAAGUGGCCAAAGCCGCUUAGCUAGCCUGAGCACAAGUCUAGAGGGAGGACAGCUCUCAACAUGAUAAGUGCAGUGGUUCUGGCACUUGGGCUCUGUCUGCCUGUUCUCCUGUUGGCUCACUCUCAGGAUGGCGCUCCUCAUGGUUACGAGACGGCUGUGUAGAUUCCAGACAUCACACGCAGACGUGACAUCCAUCUUGGAAAAAGUGGGGCUGCUUCUUCCAACACGUCUCUUCCGUUGGUGAGGAAAACCUUCCGGACUUGCCCUUGCAUCUCACAGGCCAGAUCCCCGGCAAGAGGAGCGAGAUGGCUGUCAGUGGCUUAGGCCAAUCACGAUUUGCCCUCUGUGGCUGGAGGUCUGGGCCCACCUCUCCUGAAACACAUGACUCGUGGGGAAGUUGGGAACAUGAACAAAAUCAGGGUUCAGAGGAAAGAAGGAAGGUGGAGUGGUGAGCGUUUGUCAAGUGGGUGUGAACAGGUCUGCCAGGGUUGUGGUCCUGGGUUUUCGGAGUACACAGGUGGACUGGUGGCAACAGGCUUUGAAGACAGCUCCUUCCAAUGCCAGUCUUUCCCUUUAAUAUUGCUUCUGCCAGAAUCCGUCAGCUGAUGCUUUGGGGUGACCAGAUACAAGAAUUAGGGAGGCUUCCGUGCAUUCCUCCAUCCCUUCCAAACGCCUUCCGUGUGCCGGGCAGACCACAGGAGAGAGGCAGGGCCGCCCCAUCCAGUGCACACCGUACGGUUCCCUCCAGCUUCCCACGGUGGACUCAGAACCAGUGGCUUCUUACUUCCCAUGGUGUAAAUUCUCGACUCCUCCAUCCCACCCCCCAACCUGACCCCAGCGCCCUCACAGCCUUAUCUCCUAGCACACCUCUUCAAGCCUGAGUUCCACUGAGCAGUUCUCCACUGAGCAGGAACUGCUCACCCUGGGCCCUGCUGUCCUUCCCCCUCCCAUCUCCAAAUCCUGCUCAUCCUGCAAGGGUCAGAUUGAAUGCUGCUUUCCCACAACAUCUUCCUUGAACCCACCCAUCUGAACUGAAGUCUUCCUGAUCCCUUCCUACCUUGUGAUACAGACAUUUUUAUAGAUGUUUUCUAAUGAUGAGGAUCACUAUUUGUUCAGCAUUUUCUAUAUUCCGGGCACAGUAAUGAGAGCUUUACACGGAAGAUCUUGUUUAGUUUUUAUUACACCCACUGGAGGCAGACAUUCUUACCCUUGGGUGAGAAACUGAGACCCAGAGAUUAACGGACCCAAUAUCACACAGCUGUAACUGAUAGAAGACGUGUAUUAGUUGUCUGUCGCUGUGUUCAAAUUACC